CUUGAAUGAAUUUAGCUUCUUUGUUCUUCAUAGCAUCCCAAAAUAUUUUAUAUAUUCUUGUACAACACAGCUUGACCUCCAAAACUGUGUCUCAGAUUUUCAAAAACAUCAAUAGAACAAAUUUUAUUCCCAAUUGAAUUUAGUGGUGUCUUAUGAAUUUAUGUUGCAAACUUCAUUGAAGAUUUAUGAGAGAAUGAAAUACAAUAGGAAAAAUCUGAG
rnacentral:lncRNA from 1 species